CGGCUGCACGCACAAAAAGAUAACUCCCUCCAGCACCUCAAACGACUUUUUGUGGAAGGGGGAUGUUGAGAGAAGAACAGGCCCCUCCUCGGUGGCGUAAAAGAAGGGAGGAAAAAGAAAAUCGCAACCAUACGGUUACACUCUCAUGGCUGAACGUUAUCUGCAUUUUAAUGGCGGGAUGAGGAGGAGGAGGAGUGUGCGUGUGUGUUGGGGAGCGAGGGGGUAAAGACGGCUAUACGUGCUCCUCCCUAGCGUCAUAUGUCAGCCAUUUGUGCAUCAGAGAACGCUGGCACAGCACAGUGCAGUGCAGUGAAGUGUAGUGGACCGCUUCAACCUCUCAGACAAAAAUGAGGGGAAACAGCGAAAAGAACAGCUGACAAUUGGGACCCAAGAGCACCCCCUCAGUAUCAGCACGUCUAAGCCUGAUGAAGAUAAAACACGACGGGGAUGCGAGGGAGGACGAUAAAGAGUCACAGGACAUCCCGAUCACGUUUGCAGGAAGUCAAAACAACACUCGGUGUGGGAGCAGCUGGUAAGAAUGUUGUUACAUGAAUGUCAAGAGGCAUUGAGCUGUUAUCCGGCCAAAUGUGUUUGAAACAAAGUAGUGUGAAAUCCUUACAUAGUUGGACUUGGUAUCAAGCUAAGCAGAGCUGAAAUAAACAAUUUUCUUCGCUUCAUACACAAACGGCUGAUGACUUUCAGAUGUGCCAGUCACGUUUUGUCUUGAUCAGGAUCAUAUACACGGGUGGAAAAGAUUUCCUGUCAACGUCCAAUGCCGUUUCUGUCAAAACGUCAGCUAAAACGCAACAUCCUCUGUUGCCAUCUCCAAAUGAACAGCAGUGCGAGUAUGCACAUACAAUUUCUUUUUAAGUCAACAGCACUCACAAAAGAUAUACCAAGCAGCCAUAAGUCAAAGUGAAAUGCCAAAACAGCACAGUUCCGGACUAAACAUUCCACAGAGGGCUCCCCCCCCCCGCCCUAAGGAUAUGCAACACAGAUACGUAAAUGAAAGAGCCUUGCACAAACAGCAUAUGUCUCGCAUAUAGAAGAGCUUGGCGGUAACGUCACAAAGCGGUUGACCUUUGAGGUCGAGAAAAAGCUGAACUACCUCUUCCUGCUAAAUAUUAGCCAGCUGUGUUUCUACUCAGGCAGCAGUUCUUAGAAAACCAAGAUCUCUACCCGCCGCUCUCAAAACACGGCCACAAACAAAGUGACGCAAGAGCGUGACAGCUUGGUUUUAUGCCUGACAUUCCUUUCUGGGCUUUGACCAGCCAAAAUGUCUCCAUUUACACCACUGGAGGGAUGUUUUCAGUCUUGUCUUAACUAUAACUCUAUUAAGCAUACAUACAAACUUUUUACUCUUGAUUUUAAACUGAAGGCUUCUUUUUUGUGUUGCAUAUGAAAAAAACUGUGAUGCUCCAGUUGACAAAAGUUUAGGUCCAAGGAAAAAUGUCUAGACAAAAAGGGCUACAGAAGUCAGUGUACCAAUUGUGUUAGUCCACAUUAAACUCCAUUCAUAUUCAUAUUCUUACAAGCAACAGAUGCUUGCUAACUGUUAGGUCAAUGUUGCCAAUUGAAAUUACUUGUGUCAAAAGGACAAUAACCAUGGCCAAUUGAGUAAAAUGGAAAUCAUGCAUGUAGUUGCACUAUAGUAGCUACUCCUUAAUAUCACACUUGAAUAUAAAGUUUUGAAACAUCCCAAAAAACAAACAAAAAAACAAAAAACGACAACACGAACAAAAAGCCAAUGUAAAGUAAUCACGGCGAAUUUGAAGUCUGUGGCUAUUUGUUUUGCUAUUGAUUUUGCACUUUCUUUGACAGAAAAGUUUUAUUGUAUACAUUUAAUCUUUAAUUUAUUGGAUAAUUUACUGCUUUUUUUAUUAUGUUUUAUUUUAAAUGUCAUUAAAUAUAUUCCUGUUUACAGAAAAAAUAUGUUCACUUUCGUCCCAAAUGUGAACCGUUACCUUUUAACCAAGGUACGUAUCACACUAUGAUUUUUGGUGUCCCGUUACAGCCUUAGUUUCCAUGAAGUAGUUCAGAACAAUCUAGUCCAGCUCCAAAACAUCCGUCUUGUUGAGCGCAUGGACAGGCCUGAACAGGACCAGACUCUGUGGAGUCUGAGGUGCGAGCUUCAAGAAGGGCUCCUGCGCAUUUAUAAGGUGCUGAGACGACGGACCUUGAGGAAAAGCAGACGUCCCGUACCCUUGGUCAAAGAGGAGCAGUGGACCCUCUUGUUCCAUCAGGAACAACCUAAACGCUUCCAGACCUUCACGCACUGCCUCCUCUCAUUUGUCAUCAACGCUUGUGGCCUGAGAUUGUCACUUAUUUCCUUCUAACUAACUCUCUAGACAACAAUAAACAACAAUCAAGGCCACCAUAUGUUCCCUUCUGUCCGGCUACAUGGAAACAAAUGAGACUCUGCAGCCACAUCACGUUUGUUGGUCGCAUUGCACAUCACUUUACAUACAUGCGUCAUAAAUGGAAAAAUGACAACAAACAGAGAAGAAGCACAUGGCAAAGUCCUCAUAAUUUCGGUCUCCUUAGCCAAAGUUUUCAGGCCACUGUGCUUUUAGGGGGGAAAAAAAUCUAUUUAAAGGUUAGCACAUCUGGCCCACUGUUCUGAAGUUCAGUGUUCAAUAUCUCGGCUCCUGAUGUGUAGUUUGCAUGUUCUCCCCUAAACCAUACAUGUUAGGAUAAUUAAAGACCUAAAUCAGGGGUUCUCCAACUCGGGGACCCCGAGCUGUGGCUUGGGGAUCCGCAAAACAAUUUGCAAUGAAGUAAAACAAACAUAAUAAACCAAAUACUCCUCCCUACAUUAGCUUCAAGCCAAUUAAAAGCUCUCAUUAUGAUUGUGAUGCAUCAUCAUGUAAAUGUAGCAUCCUUGCAUGAAUAAAGUAAUUUCUUUAAAGAACAAAAGGCAUUUUACACAAAUAAAUAAAAAAAUAUUUUUUUGAGAACACAAUUUUAUCCAAGAACAUGGAAUGUGGUCUCAUUUUCAGAGAAAAGACCCCCGCCCAAAAAAAUGUUUGUAAUAUGAAGAGAAUAAAGAAUAAAUUAUUUUUGAAAUUCACUUGCUAAAAUAUGACUUUCUUCCCGCUUUAAACUUUGACCUAAUACCAUAAUAUUGUGACUUUAUCUCAGAAGAAAUAUUAUUAAUUCCCGUAACGCUCUGACUUUUGUACGUCUUUGGAUUAGAUUAAAACUUUUUUUCUUGCAAAGAUUAAAACUGUCGUCUAAAAAAUAUGAAUUUGUUAUUCCUACAUUACAACUUUUUCUUUUCUCGAAAGUAGGCAACUUGGUAAUUGCUAUUCUAUUCUAUUUUAUUCCUUUUCUAUUCAAUUUGAUUCCUUUUCCAUUCUAUUCUAGUCUAUUCCAUUCUAAUGAGGACGUGCUAUAGAAAAUCGAUGGCUAUUGCUGCCAGAUUGAAAUGAAAGCCACUGUAGGAAACAAGCAAGAGGAUGCUGAGCAAGAAGGAAACAUGAGCCUGAUGAUGUCACGGGCACUGGAUCCCAGUGGGGUGUGUGUGUGUGUGUGUGUUAGAAAGAGUGUGUGUGUGACAGGUUUGAGGCACGUUCUACCCUCAAGCCAAAGUCAAGUAUGUCAACGUUGUGCAUGUGGAUUUCAUUUGGGAUGAGUCCAUCCAUGGGAACGCACCUCACCAGGAAACGGUAUGUUUUUAUUAGAAGCCAGCAGCCCUUAAAUGACUGAAAUUGAUCUUUUCCUGGCCAAUUGAUCCCACGUGGCCCCCCUACACACACUGAAGACUGCUUCCAAAUUCGUUCACACUCACAACAUUCUUCUUUUCGACUGUCUGUGUAAUAAAUAUGCCAACUGUGUUGUGUCUUUUCUUUUGCCCAAAUGUGAUUUAAUGUGUGAUGAUAGGGGGAACAACAAGUAUCCCCGAAGCAGUCACGCCCAAUUAAGGUGAUCCAAAAAAAAAAUCACUGUGCAAAAGUGUUGAAGUACAAUCUACAUAAACAUAUCCACCAAGUCCAUCAUUCAUCCCCCAAAGGUGCAAAAAGAAUUGCAGCUGACCGCUGUUCCAUUUGAGUUACAACAGGUAACCACAGUGACAUGGACAAACAAGAUUGCUGUCACACAAGGUAAGAAUACAUGAAUAUGAUGCUAUGAUGAAGAAACAAGUGGCCUUUUUUAAUAAAAUAAUGUGUUCAAUGAGAUUCUUCCCAGGAAUCACUGUUUGUAUGGUAGGCACUGUUCUAUAGCUUCUUUAUUCAGAUAAAUAUGCAAUUUCUUUUUCCAUUUGUACAUACUAUUGGAGUAUUAGUUGUCUUAGUGGUUUCCUCCACAAAACUAUGAUUAUUAUAAUUCAAUACGCACAGUACACGCAUAUAUAUAUAUAUAUAUAGAGAGAGAGAGAGAGAGAGAGAGAGAGAGAGAGAGAGAGAAAGAGAGAGAGAGAGAGAGAGAGAGAGAGAGAGAGUGAGAGAGAGAGAGAGAGAGAGAGAGAGAUGACACAGUGGACGACUGGUUAGCACAUCUGCCUCACAGUUCCGAGGACCCGGGUUCAAAUCCGCCCUCGCCUGUGUGGAGUUUGCAUGCUCUCCCCGUGCCUGUGUGGGGUUUCUCCGGGUACUCCGGUUUCCUCCCAAAAAAAACAUGCAUGGUAGGUUAAUUGAAGACUAUAAAUCUCCCAGUGUGAAUGCGAGUGGUUGUUUGUUUACAUGUGCCCUGCGAUUGGCUGACUACCAGUUCAGAGGGUGUACACCGCCUCUCGCCCAGAGUCAGCUGGGAUAGGCUCCAGCACGACCACAACCCUAGUGAGGAUAA